GCUUGGAGCAGGUGGCGUGGUCCACCACAGGCAAGAGAGCCUGCUGCAGGAUGUCGGCAAUGGGACCUCCAGCUGAGUGGAGGAGAGAUACAUACAUGCUCAAGCAUGGUCAGCUCAGAGGAAAGAGACUGAGCACUCACUAUAGAGGCGACCCCAUCCAGUGACGUAGCAGGGCUCAUUAUGGGGAAGGAUGAAGCCAGCAGUGGGGAGACAAGCAGCCAUGAUGGCAUCAGAGAAGGUAACAGGGGACUCCAGCUUGAUCAGGGCAA